rnacentral:rRNA from 1 species
UACGGAGGAUGCGAGCGUUAUCCGGAUUUAUUGGGUUUAAAGGGUGCGUAGGCGGAACAUUAAGUCAGCGGUAAAAUUUCGGGGCUCAACCCCGUCGUGCCGUUGAAACUGACACCCUUGAGUGAGUGAGAAGUAAGCGGAAUGCGUGGUGUAGCGGUGAAAUGCAUAGAUAUCACGCAGAACCCCGAUUGCGAAGGCAGCAUACCGGCGCUCAACUGACGUUGAGGCACGAAAGCGUGGGGAGCAAACAGG